rnacentral:lncRNA from 1 species
GAUCCCACUGCUGGAGGAGUUCACUCUUGAGGUUUUUUUACCACUGUAUUUUUAGGAGAUAUAAUGGUAUGUCCUAUAAAUGAGACAAGUUCAAUUAUAUGGCCAUGGUUCUGAAAUUUCAUGCAAUUGCAAAAUAUAGUAAAAACAGGCAUACUUUAUGGAAAUAUGAGGAUUGAGACUAACCACAAAGAUUGAAGGACUUUCAGGAUAGCCUAUGGGCAGUAUGAUCUCCAGUAAAUGAAUCCAUCCUAGUUCAUC